GUAAGAGUGAGGGUUAUGCUGGCGGUUUGAAAUGUAACAACUGUCGGGAUCUUCUUCAGGGGCGAUUUCGAAUGGCGCAGUGCCGACCAAACCAUACCUACCGGCGGUACAGUCAUAGAAAAUAAGAAUAAUGAAAAAGAUAAACGGUUGAGAAGCCUAGAGGAGAGAAUACAUUUCCUGAAAAGGAGCUCUCAUGGAUUCCAAAUGCAAGACCAUCCUACUGACAUGUUGUACUGUGUGUACAACCCCGACUGAUGUUCCUCUGACCCCGACACAUCUACCU